AUGUAGCUUAGUGGUAGAGCAUUUCUCUGGCAUGCACAAAGACCUAGGUUUGAUCCCUAGCAU
rnacentral:tRNA from 1 species